rnacentral:rRNA from 1 species
AUGGCUCAGGAUGAACGCUAGCUACAGGCUUAACACAUGCAAGUCGAGGGGCAGCAUGGAGUUGCUGCAAACUCUGAUGGCGACCGGCGCACGGGUGAGUAACGCGUAUCCAACCUUCCCUAUAGUAGAGGAUAGCCCGGCGAAAGUCGGAUUAAUACUCUAUGUUUCCGUUGCAGACAUCUAAGAUGGAACAAAGGCUUGCCGCUAUAGGAUGGGGAUGCGUCUGAUUAGGUAGUCGGCGGGGUAACGGCCCACCGAGCCAUCGAUCAGUAGGGGUUCUGAGAGGAAGGUCCCCCACAUUGGAACUGAGACACGGUCCAAACUCCUACGGGAGGCAGCAGUGAGGAAUAUUGGUCAAUGGGCGAGAGCCUGAACCAGCCAAGUAGCGUGCCAGGAUGACGGCCCUAUGGGUUGUAAACUGCUUUUAUGCGGGGAUAAAGUUCACUACGUGUAGUGUUUUGUAGGUACCGCAUGAAUAAGGACCGGCUAAUUCCGUGCCAGCCGCAGC